rnacentral:rRNA from 1 species
AGUGAACGCUGGCGGUAGGCCUAACACAUGCAAGUCGAACGGCAGCACAGUAAGAGCUUGCUCUUACGGGUGGCGAGUGGCGGACGGGUGAGGAAUACAUCGGAAUCUACUUUUUCGUGGGGGAUAACGUAGGGAAACUUACGCUAAUACCGCAUACGACCUACGGGUGAAAGCAGGGGAUCUUCGGACCUUGCGCGAUUGAAUGAGCCGAUGUCGGAUUAGCUAGUUGGCGGGGUAAAGGCCCACCAAGGCGACGAUCCGUAGCUGGUCUGAGAGGAUGAUCAGCCACACUGGAACUGAGACACGGUCCAGACUCCUACGGGAGGCAGCAGUGGGGAAUAUUGGACAAUGGGCGCAAGCCUGAUCCAGCCAUACUGCGUGGGUGAAGAAGGCCUUCGGGUUGUAAAGCCCUUUUAUUGGGAAAGAAAAGCAGCAGGUUAAUACCCCGCUGUUCUGACGGUACCCAAAGAAUAAGCACCGGCUAACUUCGUG